UACGUAGGGGGCUAGCGUUGUCCGGAUUUAUUGGGCGUAAAGAGCGUGUAGGCGGCCAGGUAGGUCUGCUGUGAAAACUCGAGGCUCAACCUCGAGACGUCGGCGGAAACCAUCUGGCUAGAGUCCGGAAGAGGAGAGUGGAAUUCCUGGUGUAGCGGUGAAAUGCGCAGAUAUCAGGAAGAACACCCGUGGCGAAGGCGGCUCUCUGGCCCGGUACUGACGCUGAGGUGCGAAAGCGUGGGGAGCAAACAGG
rnacentral:rRNA from 1 species